rnacentral:lncRNA from 1 species
CAACAUGCAGGGAGGACGCCAUGUGCAACCGUGGGCAGAGGCCGGGCUGAUGGGUCUACAAGCCCAGGAAAGUCCGAGAUUGCCAGCAAAACACCAGAAGCUGGGGGGAGGCAUGGAGUGGGUUCUUAGAAGGAACCCACCCUGCAACACCUACAUCUCAGACUUCAGCCUCUGAAACUAAUCUCACUCUGUUGCCCAGGCUGGAGUACAAUGGCACGAUCUCAGAUCCACCUCCCGGGUUCAAGCGAUUCUCCUGCCUCAGCCUUCCAAGUAGCUGGGAUUACAGGUAUGCAACCCCACGCUCAGCUAAUUUUUGUAUUUUUUAGUAGAGAUGGGGUUUCAUCGUGUUGAUCAAGCUGGUCUUGAACUCUUGGCCUCAAGUGAUCCGCCUGCCUUGGCCUCCCAAAGUUCUGGGAUUACUUACAGGCAUGAGCCACUGCAACCAGCCAAGUGAUAGUUUCUUGGAGGUGAAUUGCAAUGGGACUUCCAGAAAACAUGUCAUAUUUCU